GGCAGUGAGACUGCGGAUGCUAAGGUCCGUAGUCGAAAGGGAAAGAGCCCAGACCAUCAGCUAAGGUCCCUAAAUCGUGUCUAAGUGGCGAAGGUUGUGGAACUACUUUGACAUCCAGGAGGUUGGCUUAGAAGCAGCCACCCUUUAAAGAAAGCGUAAUAGCUCACUAGUCGAGUCGGCCUGCGCGGAAGAUGUAACGGGGCUAAGCAAUAUACCGAAGCUGCGGAUACGUGUUUACACGUAUGGUAGGGGAGCGUUGUGUAAGUGGAUGAAGGUGAAUCGAGAGGUUUGCUGGACAUAUCACAAGUGCGAAUGCUGACAUGAGUAACGAUAAUGCGGGUGAAAAACCCGCACACCGAAAACCCAAGGUUUCCUACGCAACGCUAAUCGGCGUAGGGUUAGUCGGCCACUAAGGCGAGGCAGAAAUGCGUAGUCGAUGGGAACCAGGUCAAUAUUCCUGGGCCGGGAGGUGGUGACGAAUUCCGUAUAUGGUUAGUCCUUAUUGGAUUGGACUAGCUGAGAAGGAGUUCCAGGAAAUAGCCCCUCCAUAACGACCGUACCCUAAACCGACACAGGUGGACAGGUAGAGUAUACCAAGGCGCUUGAGAGAACUAUGCUGAAGGAACUCGGCAAAAUGCUCCCGUAAGUUCGCGAGAAGGGAGACCUCAAUUUGGGCAACCAGAUUGGGGUGGCACAGACCAGGGGGUGGCGACUGUUUAUUAAAAACACAGGGCUCUGCGAAGUCGCAAGACGACGUAUAGGGUCUGACGCCUGCCCGGUGCCGGAAGGUUAAAAGGAGUGGUGCAA
rnacentral:rRNA from 1 species